rnacentral:miRNA from 1 species
UUCCUCGGCUGAUUUUUCGAUACUCGGAUUCUGAAAGCAAACCACCCUUAGGCGGUCGCCAACAGACUGCAAUUUUUUUUGGACUCGUUUGGAGUCUUGCUUCUAUCUCUUUGUUGGGCAUUUCGAUUCUCCCUUGAGCUGAAGGACUGGAAUGUCCAGUAACGAAAUAGAAGUAAGACUCCAGAAGGAGUCGAAGAAAUUACAGUCUGUGGGCGACCGCCUAAGGGCGGUUUGCUUUCAGAAUCGUGGAAUCGAAAAAGCAGCAGACGAA